rnacentral:rRNA from 1 species
AGUGAACGCUGGCGGUAGGCCUAACACAUGCAAGUCGAACGGCAGCACAGUAAGAGCUUGCUCUUACGGGUGGCGAGUGGCGGACGGGCGAGGAAUACAUCGGAAUCUACUUUUUCGUGGGGGAUAACGUAGGGAAACUUACGCUAAUACCGCAUACGACCUACGGGUGAAAGCAGGGGAUCUUCGGACCUUGCGCGAUUGAAUGAGCCGAUGUCGGAUUAGCUAGUUGGCGGGGUAAAGGCCCACCAAGGCGACGAUCCGUAGCUGGUCUGAGAGGAUGAUCAGCCACACUGGAACUGAGACACGGUCCAGACUCCUACGGGAGGCAGCAGUGGGGAACAUUGGACAAUGGGCGCAAGCCUGAUCCAGCCAUACCGCGUGGGUGAAGAAGGCCUUCGGGUUGUAAAGCCCUUUUGUUGGGAAAGAAAAGCAGCAGGUUAAUACCCCGCUGUUCUGACGGUACCCAAAGAAUAAGCACCGGCUAACUUCGUG